GAAUUUUGGACAAUGGGGGAAACCCUGAUCCAGCCAUCCCGCGUGUAUGAUGAAGGCCUUCGGGUUGUAAAGUACUUUUGGCAGAGAAGAAAAGGUACAUCCUAAGACGAGGUACUGCUGACGGUAUCUGCAGAAUAAUCACCGGCUAACUAAGUGCCAGCAGGCGAGGUAAUACGUAGGGUGAAAGCGUUAAUCGGUAUUAAUGGGCGGAAAGCGAGUGUAGACGGGUCGGAAAAAAAGAUGUGAAAUCCCAGGGCUCAACCUUGGAACUGCAUUUUUAACUGCCGAGCUAGAGUAUGUCAGAGGGGAGUAGAAUUCCACGUGUAGCAGUGAAAUGCGUAGAUAUGUGGAGGAAUACCGAUGGCGAAGGCAGCCCCCUGGGAUAAUACUGACGCUCAGACACGAAAGCGUGGGGAGCAAACAG
rnacentral:rRNA from 1 species